rnacentral:rRNA from 1 species
AUUGAACGCUGGCGGCAGGCCUAACACAUGCAAGUCGAACGCCCUAGCAAUAGGGAGUGGCGCACGGGUGCGUAACGCGUGGGAAUAUGCCCUUCACUGCGGAAUAACGUUUGGAAACGAACGCUAAUACCGCAUAAUGACUCCGGUCCAAAGAUUUAUCGGUGAAGGAUUAGCCCGCGUUAGAUUAGCUAGUUGGUGAGGUAAUGGCUCACCAAGGCGACGAUCUAUAGCUGGUCUGAGAGGAUGAUCAGCCACACUGGGACUGAGACACGGCCCAGACUCCUACGGGAGGCAGCAGUGAGGAAUAUUGGACAAUGGGCGCAAGCCUGAUCCAGCCAUGCCGCGUGAGUGAAGAAGGCCUUCGGUUGUAAAGCUCUUUCAGAUGUGAAGAUAAU